rnacentral:rRNA from 1 species
CCUACGGGAGGCUGCAGUGGGGAAUAUUGGACAAUGGGGGGAACCCUGAUCCAGCCAUGCCGCGUGUGUGAAGAAGGCCCUCGGGUUGUAAAGCACUUUCAGUGAGGAAGAACGCCUGGUGGUUAAUACCCAUCAGGAAAGACAUCACUCACAGAAGAAGCACCGGCUAACUCCGUGCCAGCAGCCGCGGUAAUACGGAGGGUGCGAGCGUUAAUCGGAAUUACUGGGCGUAAAGCGCGCGUAGGUGGCUUGAUAAGCCGGUUGUGAAAGCCCCGGGCUCAACCUGGGAACGGCAUCCGGAACUGUCAAGCUAGAGUGCAGGAGAGGAAGGUAGAAUUCCAGGUGUAGCGGUGAAAUGCGUAGAGAUCGGGAGGAAUACCAGUGGCGAAGGCGGCCUUCUGGACUGACACUGACACUGAGGUGCGAAAGCGUGGGUAGCAAACAGGAUUAGAUACCCGAGUAGUC